UAUCUUACUACUGUUAUACCGUAUCACAAGAAUGGAUCUCCAAGUGUUGAGACAUUACAGAUUUUGAAUAAAAUUUUGAGAGCCAUGGAUGAUGAUAGUUCUCAAGUACCUGGUUUGCUAACAGACUACAUACUCAAAGUGUUAUGUCCAACAUAAAGAGACUAGAACUAAAGUUGACACUUGUAUUGCAACAGGAUAGUUUCUACACUGUAUGUGCAAUAUAUACUUACAAUGCCAAGCUGUAAAUAACAGGAAAUAAUCCACAUAUAUUCUGAUUUAUCAUACCUGAUAACUGCUCCAUUUGUUUCAUCUUAGUAUGCAAACUGAACGCUUUUCUUCAAUUGGUCUUAUUUAUCAGCUAGGAUUAUAAAAGACUUAUCCUAGAAUGUGUAAUAUGUUAAUUGCUAUGUAUCAGUAUGGACACUUCAUUUGCUGUGACUCUAUUUCACUUCAUUCUCUUGUAUUGUGUGCAAUCACUUACUUGUACUUUUAUUUGUACAUGCAUGUACAUUUAGUGAUGUAAACAAGACACCUGUCUUUUCUUGGUCUUAAAUAUCAAUAUACUUGAUGUAUGUAUGUAUUGACAAGCAGUGCAUUGUUUACAGUACAAUGCACUUAUCACAGGUCUCUGUGCAUAUGUUGUUACUUAUAAUAAUUGCACUUUAUUGGUAAUAGUAAAUUAAAUGUACUCUAUAUUUAGAAAAAAAUAAUCUGAUAAUGGUAGAAAGAGAUGUUUUCAUGGUGUGUCAUAUUUCCAUUAAAAUAUUGCCUGCUGGAAACCUGCACAGACAUGCCAAAAUGAACAGGAAAAAAACAGGCAAUGUUUUAACAGCCAUGUUAGGUUAAAUGGCUACAUGUACAUGUAAGGUGCCCAAUUGAGUCUGCCAAGCCACCAAAGAGAACCCCCUUUUAAAAGUGGGACUGUUUUAUAUUUCAACUAAAUUGUUUUAUAUUCAUAUAAAAAGGGAUUUUAUUUAAAAGUUAUUUUUUACCUGCCAGUGCAAGUGUUUUUUUAUUUACAUUAUAAAUUAGUUUUAAUGAUGGAAUAUUUUACAUGAUUUAAUUGAACUGUGAGAUUAUUUUUGUACAUAAUAUUUUUGUUGUGGUCUUAUUGUUUAACAUAUAAUUCCAUCAUAUGUAAGUGAGAGCUAA